rnacentral:rRNA from 1 species
CCGUGCGCUACCUGCAGUCGAGCGGAUGACGGGAGCUUGCUCCUUGAUUCAGCGGCGGACGGGUGAGUAAUGCCUAGGAAUCUGCCUGGUAGUGGGGGACAACGUUUCGAAAGGAACGCUAAUACCGCAUACGUCCUACGGGAGAAAGCAGGGGACCUUCGGGCCUUGCGCUAUCAGAUGAGCCUAGGUCGGAUUAGCUAGUUGGUGGGGUAAUGGCUCACCAAGGCGACGAUCCGUAACUGGUCUGAGAGGAUGAUCAGUCACACUGGAACUGAGACACGGUCCAGACUCCUACGGGAGGCAGCAGUGGGGAAUAUUGGACAAUGGGCGAAAGCCUGAUCCAGCCAUGCCGCGUGUGUGAAGAAGGUCUUCGGAUUGUAAAGCACUUUACGUUGGGAGGAAGGGCAGAACGUAAAACCCUUGUGGUUUUGCCGUGACCGACUGACUAAGCGCCGGCUUCCUCUGCGGGAAAGUUCGCGGUAUGACAGAGGGUGCAAGGGUUCUUCGCGUUGCUUGGAAUUAAACGCCGUGGUCCUGCGCUUGUGCGGGCCCCCGUCAAUUCCUUGGAGUUUCACCCUUGCGGCCGUACUCCCUGGGGGGACUACUAUAUGCUUUAGCUGCGCCACUAAAAUCCCAUGGAGCCAACCGCUAUUUGAUUUCGUUUUAAGCUGAACUAACAGGAUACUACUCAUGUUGUUCACCACGUUUGCCUACACAGGCUAGUAUAUACCUAGCGGUCUCCUCCUGC